UACGUAGGGGGCAAGCGUUGUCCGGAUUUAUUGGGCGUAAAGAGCGUGUAGGCGGCCAUACAGGUCAGCUGUGAAAACUCGAGGCUCAACCUCGAGACGUCGGUUGAAACCGUAUGGCUAGAGUCCGGAAGAGGAGAGUGGAAUUCCCGGUGUAGCGGUGAAAUGCGCAGAUAUCGGGAAGAACACCCGUGGCGAAGGCGGCUCUCUGGGACGGUACUGACGCGUGAGACGCGAAAGCGUGGGGAGCCGAACAGG
rnacentral:rRNA from 1 species